rnacentral:snRNA from 1 species
UGUUCUGAGGGUGAUGUGGCUGUGACAUCUGUCACCUCACUCAUUGUCAGGGAUGAUGUGGCUGCUGUGGUUUGCUAGGCAGGUGUCUCUUUGCUCCCUCAAUGCUCCAUGUGUGUCCCUCCUAAAACUGCACACUAGGUCAAAGGGGACAACUACUACCAAUGGAGGAGGACUGUUACUUAGUCAAGGGUUUCUGAGUAGCCACUAGAAAUCCCAAACAAGCUCUCAAAAUGUUCCAAAGAAUAUUCUAGAAAGAGAUAAAGAAGACAGCAAUCCCAAGAAUAUCAAUAGAAAUAAUCUAU